GAUGAACGCUGGCGGCGUGCCUAAUACAUGCAAGUCGAGCGACCAGAUGAUGAGCUUUCUCCUCUGCCGUUAGCGGCUGACGGGUGAGUAACACGUGGAUAACCUACCUAUAAGACUGGGAUAACUUCGGGAAACCGGAGCUAAUACCGGCUCAUAUAUUGAACCGCAUGGUUCAAUAGUGAAAGACGGUUUAGCUGUCACUUAUAGCUGGAUCCGCGCCGCAUUAGCUAGUUGGUAAGGUAACGGCUUACCAAGGCAACGAUGCGUAUCCGACCUGAGAGGAUGAUCGGCCACACUGGAACUGAGACACGGUCCAGACUCCUACGGGAGGCAGCAGUAGGGAAUCUUCCGCAAUGGGCGAAAGCCUGACGGAGCAACGCCGCGUGAGUGAUGAAGGUCUUCGGAUCGUAAAACUCUGUUAUUAGGGAAGAACAAAUGUGUAAGUAACUAUGCACGUCUUGACGGUACCUAAUCAGAAAGCCACGGCUAACUACGUG
rnacentral:rRNA from 1 species